rnacentral:rRNA from 1 species
AAAUUGAAGAGUUUGAUCAUGGCUCAGAUUGAACGCUGGCGGCAGGCCUAACACAUGCAAGUCGAGCGGUAACACAGGGAGCUUGCUCCUGGGUGACGAGCGGCGGACGGGUGAGUAAUGUCUGGGAAACUGCCUGAUGGAGGGGGAUAACUACUGGAAACGGUAGCUAAUACCGCAUAACGUCGCAAGACCAAAGAGGGGGACCUUCGGGCCUCUUGCCAUCAGAUGUGCCCAGAUGGGAUUAGCUAGUAGGUGGGGUAACGGCUCACCUAGGCGACGAUCCCUAGCUGGUCUGAGAGGAUGACCAGCCACACUGGAACUGAGACACGGUCCAGACUCCUACGGGAGGCAGCAGUGGGGAAUAUUGCACAAUGGGCGCAAGCCUGAUGCAGCCAUGCCGCGUGUAUGAAGAAGGCCUUCGGGUUGUAAAGUACUUUCAGCGGGGAGGAAGGUGUUGAGGUUAAUAACCUCAGCAAUUGACGUUACCCGCAGAAGAAGCACCGGCUAACUCCGUGCCAGCAGCCGCGGUAAUACGGAGGGUGCAAGCGUUAAUCGGAAUUACUGGGCGUAAAGCGCACGCAGGCGG